GGUUCUGCGAUGCCCCCAUGAGCUCUGCCACCAGGGGCUGAGGCUGGAGAGACAUCGCAAGCUGCCCAUCCUGGAGCUGCUGAUGCUGGAGCAGUUCCUGGCCAUCCUGCCCCCGGGGCUGCAGAGCUGGGGCUGGGAGCGCCCUGGGCCGUGGAGAGGAGCUGGCUAUGACGGAAGAUUAGCCCUGAGCUAACCACUGCCGGUCCUCCUCCCUUCUGCUGAGGAAGCCUGGCCCUGAGCCGACAUCUGUGCCCAUCUUCCUCUACACAUGUGACGCCUACCACAGCAUGGCUUGCCUAGUGGUGCCAUGUCCGCUGCCAAGAUCUGAACCGGUGAACCCCGGGCCGCCAAGAAGCGGAACGCAUGAACUUAAUCGCUGCACCACUGGGCCAGCCCUAGAUGACCGGAAGUUUCCUGGGGGCAGAGGGCAUCUCCACCACCGGCACAAGAACCACCACGCGUCGGCACAAGAACCACCACGCGUCGCCAGCUUCAGCCAGUGACACCCAGUUCAAACGCAGAUCUUGGGAGCUCCACCCCCUCCAAGCCAGUGGUAAGAGGCAGCUUCCCCUGGGGAAGAGAUUGGGGUCCUCGUUCCUUCUUCCUGGGUCCUCCUGUGCUGAAAAGCAGGACAGAACAUCACAGCUUACAGAUCUGUGCUGGGAGCCGAGUGUGAUCAUUGAACUAGCAUGAGACCAUAAGUGUGGAAUGCAGAGAGGUACUGAGGUCAUUGGAGGACAAGAAACAGAAUGGAACCCCUCCGUCGUCUCAGUCAUCCACAGGGGCCCCUGCCAGAGCUGAGCGUCCCUGUGGUGUGGUAGCUUUUUGGCCAAACCACGCUCCAUGGUGUGGCUCACAGAGACCUUUCUUGACAAUGAGAUGAUCUUGUCUUCUUCCCUCCAUGUAGUCUGUACUCAGCGUUUGGAGGGAACCCAGGAGAUCAAGUCACCUUGUUGGGUCUAUGGAGGGGCCCUGCUCCAGGGCAAGGCAGGCAGUUGGGAAUCAGGAGAACAGGCUCAAUGAGGCAUCUCCCCAGCGGGAGGGGGCAGCCGGCAGGGUGGAGGGGCUGGACGCGCCGCUGUCUCUCCCUCAGAGAGGAGUGGUUCCAUCGCUGUUUCUGUUGCUGUAAAUUCUCAGAACUCAGUACCUUCCUUUGUAACAGGACUGUAACGCUCCUUGCAAAGCCAAAUAUCCCCUACUAGGGGGUGCUGUUUUAGAUCAGCAGUGCCAGCCUGGCCUUGCGUGAGCACCGGGGGCCAAGAGUUGACCUCCCAGAUUUGGACGUGUCCGUGGACACCUAGUCGGGGAGCAUCAGGUCCCUUCUCUUGGGAGUGUAGUUUGACUGAAGAGCUCCCCGAAAUAAGUGACACACUCACAACUUCUAGCAUCUCCUGUCACUGUUGGGAUCCAUGGGACACAGAAGGCGGGGAGGCCAAGGCAGGGAUGACAUUCAUCUGGUGCCACCAGCACGGAUGGACGGGUUGUGAAAGUAUUGAAACGCUUCUAGACUGGUUGGUAAGCAGCUGCCGCUCUGUCCCUGAGUGCCCUGCCAGCCCUUUGGCCACCCGGUGAUGCCCCCGAUCCUCAAGACCUUCCCAGGGUCCACCCUUUAAUGGUUAUCACCAGGUCCCACCAGAGGUCUCCAGGUGAGACCAGCAUCUGUUCUAAUCAGUCAGUCUGGGCCCUACGAGUUAAGUGUUUGUAACAUGCUCCUUGGCCCCUGCCUUGUGGCCCGUGCUCGUGAGGGACAGCUGAGCAGCACAGAGCAGCGAGACGGGCACUGGAACCAACUGGAUUGGGGUCCUGCCUCCGCUGCGUACUAGCUGUGCCAUUUGGGGCAAGUCCUUGAACUUCUCUGAGCCUCAGUUUCCUCAUCUGUAAGCGUCAAAUAAAAUAAUAGAUGAGAACGUACUUUGUAAGCUACAACGUGCCCCCAUGUAAAAGUUAUUUUUUAUUACCGUUUAUGACAUCUAUGAGUCUUUGUCCAACACGGGACCGCACCCACAAAGCCAGCGUUCAUCCCUCGGCCUCCGCUCCUUCCUUUUACCCUUUCUGCAGCUACUUCAACCUCUAUCCCCUGCCGCCCUCCAGGGGACACCCAAGGACUCCACUCUGCUGAGGUCACAGCCUUGGCCCCCCUGGGACAGUGUCCUCAACCACCUGCCCACCGCGCCCUCUUCCUGUGUGGCCAAGUCAUUCUCCCAGAAGCUUCCUUAGACUUCCCCUCCUGUCACCCCACUACCAAGCUUUUUCCUCCUCCUCUCCCCAGAUUUGUAAAAUAAUAAUUUGACAGGUUUUCGUUAAUAUAAAAGGAAUACAUGUUUGUGACAGAACAUUGGGAAAAUACAAAUAUGCCUGAAAGGAAAAUGGAAGUAACUCAUAAUCUCACCGUAUAUAUACUAUUUUAUAAGCUACUGUAGAAAUAUAUAUGAUCAUGAAAUUCUUUUACAGCCUCAUUUUUCAUCGUGGUGUCACAUGCCGCCGUUCAUGUCAUGGGUCCCCUGUGAUCGGCAGGGGUUUUAUCUCCACAGCCACCUUUGCACAGCAAUAAUAUUUGGAUUCUCUCCGUCUGGGUUCCGAUGGUGACCUCAGGACUGAGGACGGCUUCAGCUCAGAUCAGGAACUUGCUGAAGGAAGGCCUCCCCAGUGACUCAAGCAGACUCCAGGGAAGCUCUGCAGGCGCCAGAGCUGGGAGGCCCGCAGAAUGUUCCAGGCCCUUGGGCUGCCUCAGGGAACCUCCCAGAGAGCAGGCUGAGCAGCCAUCCUGCCCAAGAGAGGAGUUUCAAGCAGGAGAGAGAAGAGACAAGCCAUGAAGGUGACAAGUGACAAGCCUGCAGGCCAGGUGAGCUCCUGGUUCCAGAUUAGAAAAGACGUCCGGGCAAAGGCCACAGUGAUGUCACACGUGUGGCUGUGGUCGAGCAGACACAGCCCUCGUUCAGCAUCGGAGCCCACGCGGAAGAGAAGCCUCAGGUGUGAGCGGUGACAGGUCAGGAAGCUGUUACUUUGAUGAGAAAAGGAGAGAGGCGGGACCACCAUGGCCCUGAGCAGGGAAGCUGGUGUGUGUGAGCUGAGGGGCACGAAGGACACAGCUAGACACGGUCCCCAAACACAGGCCUUCUCUGCGUGGCUUCAUCACCACCAGGUGUGUGCUCCCCAGGUGCCGAAGGGCAAGGGAGCUGGCCCGCUCAGCCACUCGUCACCAGGCCACUCAGCUCCCACAUCAGCCACCUGGCCUCCACCUUAGUCCCUUCUUAGGCCACUUUUCUGUCACUUCUGCUCUUUUGUAAGAAACAUAAUACAUUUUUUCUCUUCUCAACAAGCGUAAUGCAUGUCCAUAACAGACACUUUUAAAAUACAUGUAAACAAAAUGAAAAAAAUCUAGUCACCUAUUCCAGAAUCACGGGUAACAUGGAGUGUCUUUCUAGCAUUUUUUCCUAAGCAUAUAUAUACAUUUUCUCCAUUUUUCAGGUUUCUCUAAAACCUAAAAAAAGAGGUAGGGAACCUCCCUGCAGCCCGACUUCCUUUCACCUGGGAGCCGAGAAUGGGAACCAAGAGAAGGUGGGAACCGGCCUGUGUCUUGUGGACCCCGCCCUGGCGGCCUCAGGAGCAGGACCUCUUUCGGCCACCAGAGGGGGGUGUCUGCUCAUGCACGUCUGUCCCAGUUUUCUCCUCGGGUCCAGGAACGGGCAGCUCCCCUGGAAGCCACCGUGGCCGCUCCUCGCUUUAUUGCUCAUUCUGCUCCCUGCCGCCCCGGGAAACCUUCUUGGUUCCUGAGGAGAAACAGACCAAACUCCCAGGCUCCCUCUGGACCGCGUCUGCCCAGAUUUCCCGCAGCCUUGGACAGCUCUCCUCGCCGGUGCCGCCUUGGGCCUCAGAGGGAGGGGAUGACCUGCUUCCCGUUGUUCUCAGGGUCGAGUCCCGAGGCCCUGGACGGCCCGGCCCCUCCCUGUUCCUCCCCCCCUCCCUCCACGUUGGGCUCCGUUUUCCUCACUUACACUACACUGGCCAUCUUCCGGCUCCGUUCACUCUGUUCCCUCACCAGCUGACCCUCCCGCGUGUUGCUCUCGGGAAGGCGCCCCCCAGCCCGCCCCAGGCAGAUGCCUGCUGUUCCAGGGCUUAGGUGACACGCUGCUUCUUCCCGGGAGUCGCUCCCAACCCCGCGAGUCUGGGAUACGGGAUUCUCUUCUCUGCUUCCUGGGGCCCAGUACUUCCCCUUUCAGAACUCGUAGCAUGCUGGGUUGUCUGCCUCCUUCUAGAGUGGAAGUUCCAGGAGGGCAGGGACCGUGUCAGUCUUACUCGCGUCCCCAGCACUGACGCACCCUGCCCGGCGCUCCGCAGCGCUCAAUGAAGAUUUGCUAAAUGGGCGCAUGAAUGAGUGAAUGCGGAAUGAAGGAGUGUGCCUUUCCCUGGUCCCUGAAGUAGAGUCUCCGAAAGCCGUCCCCUUCUCUCCUUCUGUCCCCUUGCCCUCCCAGUUCGCCAGGUGCCUCUCAUUGUCCCUACAACUCUGGAAACAGCCCGAGGAAUCGCACACUAAUGGCCCGGUUCCCUCCCUUGUGUGGGGCAGACAGUGGGGUUUGGAGCGAGAUGGACUGAGCUUCAAGUACUCUGCCACUUAAUAGCUGUGCGCGCACCUUAUUUUCUUUAUUUACAAAGUGGAGAUAACAGGUCCCAGGCCAUUGCUCUGAGAAACCCCGGGCCAGCUCGACAUGUGGUGAACAGCCAUUACGCCCGCGUUCUUUCUCCCUCCCUUCCCCGCGCUCUCUCCUACGCCCCCUCCGAAGCCUUGGGACACAGACACCCCUGCAGUCCAAAAGGUGCCACUGUCUUCCUGUUCCCCUCUCUCUUCCCCGAGGUUGUCCAAGCCACUUGUUGCUGACACCUCCUUCCUCCCUGUCCCUUAUCCCCAGCACAAAUGUUAAUGCCAGCUACAGAGCAGAGUAGAAGCUGAGAAGACACUUGUUGAAUGAAUGAACCAGUCACCGCGCCCUCCCCUGCGGCGUGUUUGCCAGUGGUCAGACGUGUAAAGUGGUCGCCAGCCCGUUGAUGGGCAGGGGCCUCCUGCCAUUGGACGACUCCCGUGGCAGGUUGGGCACAUGUGAAGAC
rnacentral:lncRNA from 1 species